rnacentral:rRNA from 1 species
AUGCCGCCGCCCCCUUCCCCCCACUCGCCUCUGCCGCCUCCUCUCCUUCCCCGCACCUCUGGCCUCCCCCCUCCUCCCUCCUCCUCCAUCCUCCCUCAUUCGUCAUCACGGCAGACCAUCUCCCGUCACUUGGGCCCCAUGCUGGCGGCCGGGUCGGGGUGGAGGCGCAGCAGGGUUGCAGGGGCCCUACGUGUACUACCUCUACAGCCAGUACGGGUUCGACAAGGGCGACAUCGGCCGCCUCUUCAUCGCCGGCUUCGGCUCCUCCAUGCUCUUCGGCACCAUCGUCGGGUCGCUCGCCGACAAGCAGGAAGUAAGAGGGCGUGCAUCACCUACUGCAUCACCUACAUCAUCAGCUGCAUCAUGAAGCACUCGCCGCAGUACAUGAUUCUGAUGAUUGGCCGUGUGCUUGGAGGCAUUGCAAUAUCGCUGCUCUUCUCGGCAUUCGAGUCGUGGCUCGUCGCGGAGCACAACAAGGGAGAGUUGACUGCUGUACAUGAGACCCAGGCGAAAAUGAGUGUGCUAGCGGAGGCUCCGGGGAUGCAGGGUGAUAGGGCCCAGUCUAUGCUCCGGUUGUGUUGUUGGGGAAGCUUCGGACGGGAUUUAGAUAAGGAAAAGGAGACCCGUGCGAAAUCGAGCGUCCUGGUGUUGGGACUGAUGAUCCGCACUUGUUGUCUAAAUGCAAAACAUGCGCAUUGCAGUGCUUUCUAUCAGUACCGACGACCACAAAUGGGAUGGAUCGAGCAACCAAGACUCAGAGUGUGGUUGACAGUGCGGCCUGCUCCCAACCCUGCAGGUGCCUUACUGUACCAUGCCGUCUCCUGCGUGCCAUGCCCCUCAAACCCAACCAUCAAAUGA